rnacentral:lncRNA from 1 species
CGUGCGUAUGUGAGCGUGCCUGCGUGAGCGUGCAUAUGUGAGCGUGCGUACGUGAGCGUGCGUACGUGCGUGAACGUCUAUUGAUUGUUAAGUCUUUCAAGCAUGAAUUAACACUUUAUGGUUAUUAUGCCAGCCCGGAAUAUUCAGUCUAAGCUCAGCUUCUACAAUUGAUUUGGCAGGAAUGAAAUCCGCGUUUGUCUACAGCAGAUUCGGCAGGGACCAGGCCUUCCGUGACCACAUUAAAAGGAAUGAAAUGCAGCCAGACCAACUCAUUUUAAAGGAUUAUUACAAGAUGUGA